GCCAAAGCCGAGGCUCAGAAACGAGAGGAAAAUGAAAGACAGCUGAGAAAGUCUCUACAGACACAGGGUACCAACAGCACCAAGUACAUAUACCAACAGAGGAAACUCCAAGAAUUCCACAGAAAGAAAAAAUCCUUUGAUUUGAAGCAGCAAUCCAAACGUAUUGAAAUAAUUUCAAAGUUACUGCUGGAAGAGGAGUUGUUAAAGAGACGCCAGGCUCUGCUUCCCACUCCAUCCCACUCUGUAAACAUGGCCUCAAGGCAAAGGGGAUCUUCAGAGAAGGAGCGCUCACCUACCCCCUCACCACCAUCCAAGCAACGCACGUUGUUCAACGACAGCAGCUCUUCAUCAGAGCACUCUGACCAGGAGGGGAGCAUGGACCUGGAGACCGAGCAGGGCCUCACUGAGAGCCUUGCACAGCCUGAGUUUACUGGAUUGUGGGACCAGACACGUCAAG
ensembl:lncRNA